rnacentral:pre_miRNA from 1 species
UUUAAAUGCAAACAUGAGUUUCCGCGCCGAACUUUAGUCGUCUGUCUUAUUUGAAAAUUUGUUGUGAUUAGUAUUUUUGUUGUUAUAAGAUGAUAAAACAUGAAUAAUACUUUAUGCGUGACUUAUAUUUUUAAUUUUUUUAAAAAAAUUAUCGAUGAAAUUGGAGUACAUGGAGGGAGUACAUGAACUGAAGUCUGAACGCAAC